ACGCGCCGCUUCGUGAUGCUGCGAGAUAACUCGGGGGAUCUGGCCGACCCGCACAAGGUGUACGCGCUGAGCCGGGAGCUGUGCUGGCGAGAAGGCCCAGGCACGGACCAGACUGAGGCAGAGGCCCCCGCGGCUGUCCCACCACCACAGGUAGCCUUCUCUCUGCCUGCCUCUCCUCCUGCCAGGCCGCGGAGCUGCUUAAGCUGACCCUGACUUUUCCCUGCAGGGUGGGCCCCCAGGGCCAUUCCUGGCACACAGAGAUGCUGGACUCCAAGCCCCAGGCCCCCUCCCUGCCCCAGCUGGUGACAAAGGGGACCUCCUGCUCCAGGCAGUGCAACAGAGCUGCCUGGCGGACCAUCUGCUGACAGCGUCAUGGGGGGCAGAUCCAGUCCCAGCCGAGGCUCCUGGAGAGGGACAAGGGCUUCCCCUGACUGGGGCCUGUGCUGGAGGUGUGGGCAGUGCCCAGGGAGUGGCGGGGGAGAGCACGGGAGGGGCCAGUGUACCUGGACGGACACUUGAGAAGGGGGCUGGGGAUUGGGGAGCUGGAGAAGUAGGAGGGGACCACCGUUCCCACUGUCCUCCCCUCCUCAGGCCCAGGGCUCCCUGCUGGGGAGCUGUAC
rnacentral:sRNA from 1 species